UAGUAACUUUUUCCUUUUUUGAAUAUAGUUUUGAGUUCCCGAAAAACAUGUGUGCUGUUUGCCGUUUAUCUGUAAACUCAUGCAGGACUUCUGCUCUUUUGCAAUAGAGCUUGGACUUUAAAUCAAUUGUUUUCUUCGCAUCCUCCGAAUUAAUUUUUUUUUAAUGAAAAAAAUUUUCAGUGCUUCGUUAACGUGUUUGCUCACCCUCUUGUCCUCUGCGGUCUAUUUUUAAUGCUCUGUUCCAGAACAAUGUAACAGGUUAUACAAGGUAAGCCACCCCGGGGCGGAGAGUUGACGUCGUAGCUCAGCGGUUAAGAGCAAGUAUAAACUCAAGGUUGUGAAUUCGUAGAGCUCCACCUACGUGAUCUCUUCUUCGGGAUUUGAUGGUAUUGUAUUUAAACUUCAUCAAUUCCUCCUCAAGAAUCAAUACUCCCUUCUUAACUGUAUUAAAUUGUUCAUAAAAAGCUUUUUAUAA